AUUAAUUCGAUGCAGCGCGAAAAACCUUACCUACCCUUGACAUGGAAGGAAUCCCCGAGAGAUCGGGGAGUGCCCGAAAGGGAGCCUUCACACAGGUGCUGCAUGGCUGUCGUCAGCUCGUGUCGUGAGAUGUUGGGUUAAGUCCCGCAACGAGCGCAACCCUUGUCAUUAGUUGCUACGAAAGGGCACUCUAAUGAGACUGCCGGUGACAAACCGGAGGAAGGUGGGGAUGACGUCAAGUCCUCAUGGCCCUUAUGGGUAGGGCUUCACACGUCAUACAAUGGUACAUACAGAGGGCUGCCAACCCGCGAGGGGGAGCUAAUCCCAGAAAGUGUAUCGUAGUCCGGAUUGUAGUCUGCAACUCGACUACAUGAAGUUGGAAUCGCUAGUAAUCGCGGAUCAGCAUGUCG
rnacentral:rRNA from 1 species